rnacentral:rRNA from 1 species
AGUGAACGCUGGCGGUAGGCCUAACACAUGCAAGUCGAACGGCAGCACAGUAAGAGCUUGCUCUUACGGGUGGCGAGUGGCGGACGGGUGAGGAAUACAUCGGAAUCUACUUUUUCGUGGGGGAUAACGUAGGGAAACUUACGCUAAUACCGCAUACGACCUACGGGUGAAAGCAGGGGAGCUUCGGACCUUGCGCGAUUGAAUGAGCCGAUGUCGGAUUAGCUAGUUGGCGGGGUAAAGGCCCACCAAGGCGACGAUCCGUAGCUGGUCUGAGAGGAUGAUCAGCCACACUGGAACUGAGACACGGUCCAGCCUCCUACGGGAGGCACCAGUGGGGAAUAUUGGACAAUGGGCGCAAGCCUGAUCCAGCCAUACCGCGUGCGUGAAGAAGGCCUUCGGGUUGUAAAGCCCUUUUGUUGGGAAAGAAAAGCAGCAGGUUAAUACCCCGCUGUUCUGACGGUACCCAAAGAAUAAGCACCGGCUAACUUCGUG